GAUGAACGCUGGCGGCGUGCCUAAUACAUGCAAGUCGAGCGAACGGACGAGAAGCUUUCUUCUCUGAUGUUAGCGGCUGACGGGUGAGUAACACGUGGAUAACCUACCUAUAUGACUGGGAUAACUUCGGGAAACCGUAGCUAAUACCGGAUAAUAUUUUGAACCGCAUGGUUCAAAAGUUAAAGACGGUCUUGCUGUCACUUAUAGAUGGAUCCGCGCUGCAUUAGCUAGUUGGUAAGGUAACGGCUUACCAAGGCAACGAUGCAUAGCCGACCUGAGAGGAUGAUCAGCCACACUGGAACUGAGACACGGUCCAGACUCCUACGGGAGGCAGCAGUAGGGAAUAUUCCGCAAUGGGCGAAAGCCUGACGGAGCAACGCCGCGUGAGUGAUGAAGGUCUUCGGAUCGUAAAACUCUGUUAUUAGGGAAGAACAGAUGUGUAAGUAACUGUGCACAUCUUGACGGUACCUAAUCAGAAAGCCACGGCUAACUACGUG
rnacentral:rRNA from 1 species